UUGGCGAAUAAGUGGUGGGUAAGASUGGUGCCAGCCGCCGCGGUAACACCAGCGCCACGAGUGGCAACCACGUUUAUUGGGCCUAAAGCGUCCGUAGCCGGUUUGKUAAAUCUUUUGUGAAAUCGUCAGGCUCAACCUGACGGCGCGCUGGAGACACUGCCGAACUCGAGACCGGGAGGAGUCAGAGGUAUUUCAGGGGGAGCGGUAAAAUGUUAUAAUCCCUGGAGGAUCACCUGUGGCGAAGGCGUCUGACCAGAACGGAUCUGACGGUGAGGGACGAAAGCUAGGGGAGCGAUCCGGAUUAGAUACCCGAGUAGUCCUAGCAGUAAACGCUGCGAGCAAGAUGUUGCGCAUCCUACGAGSAUGUGCAGUGUCGAAGAGAAGUCGUUAAGCUCGCCGCCUGG
rnacentral:rRNA from 1 species